UGUGUGAAUAAGAGAGAAAGAGACGGUGUGUGUGUGUGUGUGUGUGUGUGCGAGAGAGAGAGAGAGAGAGAUGCUUGAUAGAACGAGUGAUUUUAUAUCACAGUGACAAAUACGUCUGCAUGUCGAAUGCAGCUCACUUCAGAUCAUGCUAGCGAAGGAAAAGAAUAGGAAAAAUAACAGAGGACAGUGAAAGAAAGAAGAAAAUGUGGAAAAUAAAUGAAACAUGUUAGUGCUGACGACUCAGACAGGAACAGGAAACACUGCAAGAGACUGAAAUCGCUCAGAUUAAUGAGUGGAUUUAUGGGUCUGAAGAUGGACUGACUGAUCAUGAGCUGAUGGACGGAGAGCAGGAAAGUGACUCUGUGUAACUUCACAAUUACAGCUGAAGAGCCAGAAAUCUGAUGAUCUGAGAGAAACCAGCUCUGAAAUCACUCCAGAUCAAAUCACUGACCUGUAUAUCGACUAUAUUGCAAUCAUAUGAAUAUGUAACCAGACUGUGCGCGCUGCUGAAGGAGUUUAAACUCGUGUUUCUCUCUAGUUUCAGCAGCAGAAGUUCGAGGGGGAAACAGGCGCGUUCACGUGAACAAAGGGGUCAGACCGGCAACAUGUGACUCGAUUACAGCGUGGGAGUAAAAAGGUGAAAGAAGAACAGAUCAGGAAUGAGGGGAAACUGGAGGAGAGGAACAAAAGAAAGAGAGAAAGGAGGAGAUAUAAUGAAGGCAGACGAGAUGUGCUGGACGAAUCACAGCUUCCCCGACAGACCUCCACACUCCAGACCGGAUUCACUGGGAAGGAACACGCGAAGUGGAAAACAGGAGGUUUGCAAACAGGUAUCUCAUGUCACGUUUGAUUGUGCAAUUGUUUGCCGACUCAAGAUAGCAGCGAGGAACAGGUUUAUGGUCAGAGAGAGAAAGAGUGAGAGACAGACUGGGAAGAAGAGAAACGAGAGCAAAGUGAGGAACAGAAAGAAUCCGCUUUACCAUCCUCCUGACAGACGACAAGAAGCAACCCUUACCCUUGUGUUUUGUGAGUGCCAGUCCGUUCAAAGAAGUUGUGAAAUAUCAGCUUCCACAGCAGACGCUCACCUGACGGACUGAAGGAUCUCGUGUUUACCCAUCACACCUGAAAGAUCCAGAGACAUUAUUCAGCAGUCUCAUAAAGCUCACGAGUAGUUUUGACAUGUACCGAUGUCCUGCAGUCGACAGACUAAACUCUACCAUCUAGAAACCAUUUUAAAUUAGCAACAAAUUCUCAUAUAUUUAUCAUUUAUGCGGUUUUAAUGUGCUCAUAUUUUUUGAGGGAUACACAAAAUAUCUGGGCUCUUCAGUAAAUGGCAGCUAAAGCAAAUAUGUUCAUGCACAUCAAUCUCAGUUUUCAGUAACUGUAAGCAGUCUCUGAGACGUCGCCAUUGUGUUUGUCCUUGCUCUCUGUGUAAUGAAGGAAAGUCAGAGCAAGAGCAUGUGGGUGAAGGGUGACGCAUGCUUUUAUGAAUGGGCUGCUGGAACGAGCGCUCUGAUUGGUCAGACCCACAUCUCUGUGUCUGUAGUGAAAUACGACACCACAGCGUUACCACUGCUGCUUUUAUUACCCAUUAAAACAAAGCUGAAAGAUGCAUGUCUACUUCCCUGAAAGAGAAGUGUUUUCCUGCUCAGAGUCUUGAAACACGGUCAGAGUUCUUGAUCCCUGUACGUCCAGGAAAAGCAUGCGACCGCAUCUGUGCUCAAGAGUUAGUCAACAACAGCAGCUGUCACACACUGACUAAAGAAAGAGAGAGAGACACGAAAGGGAGCUUGUACCCACUUUCACUCCUUUACCUAGAGCUUAAACACUUCCUGUUCUGUCCUCUCACAUUUCCAGAGGUCACACACAGGUCAUCACAGAGGAGGAGACGAGAGCGCGUCCUGUAUCAAACAUCACGUGAGUGAUUAUGACAGACCUACUGAUGUGCAAAGCAUUUAGUGAAGGACAGCAGAGAUGACGGCAGCGUCACGCUCACUGACUUCCAGAUCUCUUCCUGCCAAAUCAUGGAAAACUUGAGUCACGUGACAUCACGGAAACAGGAGAUGCCGAGUGGAAAAAAUGUGUCACACGUCAGUCAUGUGACAGAAAGAGAAGGACAGCAUGACGAGGUCAAGCGAUCGUCAUCACUGAUAACUCAACAUUAUCAGUGCAUUUGCUUCUAGGUGCAGCGUGACGUCUCCCACCCUGCUGAAAACCUGCUGAUUCGACCGGAGCCGUGUGUUUGUGACAUGAACACGAGUCAGCGCUCCUAAUCUGAUCACUUUAAACAUGGAGCUCCCAUCCUGUUUAACUUUCCAUCGGCGGUCCCUGAGGCUGCGGCGUCUGUUUGAACUCUUUUUCCAGGCCACAUCUGCCCCUUACACUCACUUCCAGGCUAUUAUACACUCGUCUGAGUUAAAUGCACCUGUGUUGGUGCAUCACAUACAUUCAUGAAGUCAUCUCCCUUCACAGGACAGACGACACAUUUGUAUCAGGGAUGUCCAUGAGAUCAUGUCAGGUUAUUAACCCAGUUGUCUACCUUCUGUCUAGGCUGCAGCACUGGAGCAGAGCUGCAUGGAGGCGCCCAUCCUUCGCUCAGUGGUCAGUGUAGGUCCUGUUCGGCCGCCAGCAGCUACAUCUGGCUACUGGGUCUCUGAUGGCUGUCGUUCUGUGAUCGAGCAGCGCUUCACAACACUACAGCUAAAGCCAGAGCCACGGAGGAAAGCAAGACUGAUGUGGUUUUGAACCUGGCAUACAGUGUAGAGAUCUGUGUUUGUCAAAUUACAGCUACAUUGUCUGCUGGGUUUCAGAGCCGCUUCAUAACGCCGGAGGCUUUUAGUUAGGAAACGUUUCACACAGUGUCAGUCUUCAAGUGAUUCAAUAAAGCCUAAACAUGUUCACUCUG